GUUCUGAGUCUUUUCCGUAAUAUUUUGGUUCCUUGACCGGGAAACAACUCACAGGAGCAGGAGGAGAAACAAUGGGAGCAGGCUCAUCGACUGUACUCGACUGCAUGUUGCAGAAUUUUGAUUGGUUCCGGGGCCAGGAUCCGAGCAUGACCCCGAGCCAAUUGGAAACCUUCUGUUCAGCCAAAUGGCCUAGUUUUGGGGUUGCAGGAAUCACCAUCUGGAUCCAUCACAGCCGAGCCAAGAGGGCAAUGGACCCAGCAAAUUCCAGGAGGAUGGACGGGGACCCAGAUGACCAGCCGCCACUGUUGCCGACCCUGAAGCUUAAAAGGAAACCAGGCAUUGACGGAGGCUCAGAGGAAUGGACAAUUGCCCAGGAUGGUACCUGACUGCAGUGGGAAGUUUUGCUAUAAUCUUAGGAAUUGGACUGAUGACUGUAGCCCCAACAGAAUGGAACACCUGUGAGUGACUGGCUCUCAGGGGAACAUAUCUUGGGCCACUGCUAUGCCCGCAGAAUGCCUACAAUGCUAUCUCCCAGGUAGCGACCAAGCUGGGCCCCUCACAUGUGUUGGGACAAUAAA